UACGAAGGGGGCUAGCGUUGUUCGGAAUUACUGGGCGUAAAGCGCGUGUAGGCGGGUCUUUAAGUCAGGGGUGAAAUGCCAAGGCUCAACCUUGGAACUGCCUUUGGUACUGGAGACCUUGAGUCCGGGAGAGGUGAGUGGAAUUGCGAGUGUAGAGGUGAAAUUCGUAGAUAUUCGCAAGAACACCAGUGGCGAAGGCGGCUCACUGGCCCGGUACUGACGCUGAGGUGCGAAAGCGUGGGGAGCAAACAGG
rnacentral:rRNA from 1 species